AAGUUAAUCGAAGAACCAUAUACGCACGAAACAAUAUUUCGUCUUUACGCAGGCCCGGUUUGAAGGCGACGCACGUGCAGCAGUGCAUUCACGAAGAUUCCCGAGAUUCAGAGGCCUCGCAUUAAUUGAAAUGUUGCGCUGAACGAUCUAAGUUUUUUAUACGAAUAGUAAUCUCGAAUGGCAGAUCUAUUAUAGCAGGUUAGGUCAAAUGCCAAAUCGAAUGACGUCAAGACAAAGAAAUUAGCGAAUUCUACAAUUCCUGAUCCCCGAACACGAGAAAGA